AGAACGAACGCUGGCGGCAUGCCUAACACAUGCAAGUCGAACGCCUCCGGGGCUUCGGUCGCGGAGGAGUGGCGCACGGGUGAGUAGCGCGUGGGAACCUGCCCUGUUGUGGGGGAUAACCGAGGGAAACUUCGGCUAAUACCGCAUACGCCCCGGGACUUGGUCUUCGGAUUAGGUCUGGGGGGAAAGAUUGAUCGCAGCAGGAGGGGCCCGCGUCGGAUUAGCUGGUUGGUGGGGUAACGGCUCACCAAGGCGAUGAUCCGUAGCUGGUCUGAGAGGAUGAUCAGCCACACUGGGACUGAGACACGGCCCAGACUCCUACGGGAGGCAGCAGUGGGGAAUAUUGGACAAUGGGGGCAACCCUGAUCCAGCAAUGCCGCGUGAGUGAUGAAGGCCUUAGGGUUGUAAAGCUCUUCGCCCGCGACGAUGAUGACGGUAGCGGGAGAAGAAGCCCGGCUAACUUCGUGCCAGCAGCCGCGGU
rnacentral:rRNA from 1 species